AUUGAACGCUAGCGGGAUGCUUUACACAUGCAAGUCGAACGGCAGCGCGGACUUCGGUCUGGCGGCGAGUGGCGAACGGGUGAGUAAUGUAUCGGAACGUGCCCAGUAGCGGGGGAUAACUACGCGAAAGCGUAGCUAAUACCGCAUACGCCCUACGGGGGAAAGCAAGGGAUCGUAAGACCUUGCACUAUUGGAGCGGCCGAUAUCGGAUUAGCUAGUUGGUGAGGUAACGGCUCACCAAGGCGACGAUCCGUAGCUGGUUUGAGAGGACGACCAGCCACACUGGGACUGAGACACGGCCCAGACUCCUACGGGAGGCAGCAGUGGGGAAUUUUGGACAAUGGGGGCAACCCUGAUCCAGCCAUCCCGCGUGUGCGAUGAAGGCCUUCGGGUUGUAAAGCACUUUGGCAGGAAAGAAACGUCGCGGGCUAAUACCCCGUGGAACUGACGGUACCUGCAGAAUAAGCACCGGCUAACUACGUG
rnacentral:rRNA from 1 species